UCUCCAUCACUUUCUCCAGCCUUAAGAGAGUAACUUUCUAACACUGUAUUUCAAUGUCUUCUGGCAGAAUAUUUUCCAUCUGCUUUUUAGAUGUGUGAGUGUGGGAGGGGCAGAGGAGGCUGGGAUGGCGGGGGUGGUGUCAAGGAACAACGCCAAGACAUACUGCUCUCGUUGAAAUGAUCUACUGCUUCCUUUCUGUUUCCACAGGGCUUGCUACACUGCUCUCACUUCUCUUCAGCGUGGCUGCUGUUCUUCACUUCUCCCUGAGACAUCCCAUCUUCCUAAAAUCCUUCCCACCUUUCCUGAGAAGCCACCAACACAACUCCACAGGCAGGUGGGAAUUCAGCAGCUGAAAGGACAUGGCAUUCUGACACACCAUUCAGGUUGUCUGGAAAGCACACAGGUGAGAAGUCAAGCAGAGAAGACAAUUUGUCUUAAAUACUUAAUUUCUAAGAUAAGGUCGAGAGAAUCAGUAUAGAAUCAUGGAGUAUUUUAGUCUGAUAUAACUGUAUUUUCAGUCUAUCCUAAGAGUAGUUUGUAUGGUCAGAAUGGCUUCCACUGGGGAUCUCAGAGCUUUUCCCAAAUGCUCUUUUGAAUGAAGUCUUGUAAUGCAUCGUUUACACUGGGCAAGAAACAAACAUGAAAAUUGAUGGAAAAUUUUCCUUUUACUGGAGAUGAUCCAAACUAACAUUGCUGAGCACUCCCUUCACUUUGUGUGGAAAU
rnacentral:lncRNA from 1 species